UACGUAGGGUGCAAGCGUUAAUCGGAAUUACUGGGCGUAAAGCGUGCGCAGGCGGUGAUGUAAGACAGAUGUGAAAUCCCCGGGCUCAACCUGGGAACUGCAUUUGUGACUGCAUCGCUCGAGUCCGGGAGAGGGGGGUGGAAUUCCCAGUGUAGCGGUGAAAUGCGUAGAUAUUGGGAGGAACACCGGUGGCGAAGGCGGCCCCCUGGACCGGUACUGACGCUGAGGCGCGAAAGCGUGGGUAGCAAACGGG
rnacentral:rRNA from 1 species